GCGAACGGGUGAGUAAUGCAUCGGAACGUACCUUUCAGUGGGGGAUAACGUAGCGAAAGUUACGCUAAUACCGCAUAUUCUGUGAGCAGGAAAGCAGGGGAUCGCAAGACCUUGCGCUGAUGGAGCGGCCGAUGUCAGAUUAGCUAGUUGGUGGGGUAAAGGCUCACCAAGGCGACGAUCUGUAGCGGGUCUUAGAGGAUGAUCCGCCACACUGGAACUGAGACGCGGUCCAGACUCCUACGGGAGGCAGCAGUGGGGAAUUUUGGACAAUGGGCGCAAGCCUGAUCCAGCCAUGCCGCGUGAGUGAAGAAGGCCUUCGGGUUGUAAAGCUCUUUCGGCCGGGAAAAAAUCGCUUGGGUUAAUACCCUGAGUGGAUGAUGGUACCGGAAUAAGAAGCACCGGCUAACUACGUGCCAGCAGCCGCGGUAAUACGUAGGGUGCGAGCGUUAAUCGGAAUUACUGGGCGUAAAGCGUGCGCAGGCGGUUUUGUAAGACAGGCGUGAAAUCCCCGGGCUCAACCUGGGAACUGCGUUUGUGACUGCAAGGCUAGAGUAUGGCAGAGGGGGGUGGAAUACCACGUGUAGCAGUGAAAUGCGUAGAGAUGUGGAGGAACACUAAUGGCGAAGGCAGCCCCCUGGGCCAAUACUGACGCUCAUGCACGAAAGCGUGGGGAGCAAACAGGAUUAGAUACCCUGGUAGUCCACGCCCUAAACGAUGUCAACUAGGUGUUGGGUGGGUAAAACCAUUUGGUACCGUAGCUAACGCGUGAAGUUGACCGCCUGGGGAGUACGGCCGCAAGGUUAAAACUCAAAGGAAUUGACGGGGACCCGCACAAGCGGUGGAUGAUGUGGAUUAAUUCGAUGCAACGCGAAAAACCUUACCUACCCUUGACAUGCCAGGAACUUGCCAGAGAUGGCUUGGUGCCCGAAAGGGAGCCUGGACACAGGUGCUGCAUGGCUGUCGUCAGCUCGUGUCGUGAGAUGUUGGGUUAAGUCCCGCAACGAGCGCAACCCUUGUUGUUAAUUGCCAUCAUUUAGUUGGGCACUUUAACGAGACUGCCGGUGACAAACCGGAGGAAGGUGGGGAUGACGUCAAGUCCUCAUGGCCCUUAUGGGUAGGGCUUUACACGUCAUACAAUGGUCGGUACAAAGGGUUGCCAAGCCGCGAGGCGGAGCCAAUCCCAGAAAGCCGAUCGUAGUCCGGAUCGCAGGCUGCAACUCGCCUGCGUGAAGUCGGAAUCGCUAGUAAUCGUGGAUCAGCAUGUCACGGUGAAUACGUUCCCGGGUCUUGUACACACCGCCCGUCACACCAUGGGAGCGGGUUCCGCCAGAAGUAGGUAGCCUAACCGCAAGGA
rnacentral:rRNA from 1 species